UUUUCGGAGAGUUUGAUCCUGGCUCAGAGUGAACGCUGGCGGCGUAGAUUAGGCAUGCAAGUCGAGCGAUACAUUUUUCUUGAGAUGGUGAAGCCGUAAGGCUGAUCUGUUGAAGGAAAAAUGAUAUAGCGGCAGAUUGGUGAGUAACACGUGAGUAAUUUACCUCUAAGUCGGGGAUAGCUUUGCGAAAGCGAGGGUAAUACCCGAUGUGCUUAUAGCUGCAUAAGAAGUUGUAAGUAAAGAAGGCUCGUAAGAGUUUUUGUUUAGAGAUGAGCUCGCGUCCUAUCAGCUAGUUGGCAGGGUAAUGGCCUACCAAGGCUUUUGACGGGUAGCUGGCCUGAGAGGGUGGUCAGCCACAUGGGGACUGAGACACUGCCCCAACUCCUACGGGAGGCUGCAGUCGAGGAUAUUUAGCAAUGGGCGAAAGCCUGACUAUGUGACGCCGCGUGAGGGAUGAAGGUCUUCGGAUUGUAAACCUCUUUCGAUAGGGAAGAAAACCUGCUCUUAACGGAGUAGACUGACGGUACCUAGAGAAGAAGCCACGGCCAACUCUGUGCCAGCAGCCGCGGUAAUACAGAGGGUGCAAGCGUUAAUCGGAGUUACUGGGCGUAAAGCGUGCGUAGGCGGAUAUUCAAGUCGAGUGUGAAAGCCCCGGGCUCAACCUGGGAACUGCAUUCGAUAC
rnacentral:rRNA from 1 species